UUUUUUCCAUCGAUUUACCUUCAAUUCGACGUCGAUUAUCGUCGACGCAAACAGUUUGACAGUUCUCUUCAGUUGAUCUUGUUCGGACUUGAUCAAAUCAGAAAAACAAUAUUGUUGUAAAGGUUCGUGAGGAUUUUGGCUGGUUGAUUGAUUUCCUGAUUUCAGCCUUCGCGACGGUGGAAGAGAACGUGAAACAUCGUUAACCCGGCGGAUCAUGCCGGAAGAUGGGACGGGAAGGAACCGGUCUGCGAUCGAAAGCGGAUUGGGAUCUGUAUCAAACAGUCUCCAAACAGGACAAUGAAAGUGUUGGUGGUGUUUGAUUUUUAGAGAAUGUCAAAAUCGCCAUUAUCAAUACUAAGACCUG